rnacentral:snRNA from 1 species
GGGUGUGAGGGUGAUCUGGCUAUGACAUCUGUCACUUCACUGAUCACCAGGGGUGAUCUGGCUGGCGAGGCGGGUAUCCCCCGCCUAUGUCCCUGCUCCACGGCUCCACGUGUGUCCCUCCCAAGGGCUGCCCGCUGCAUCCAGGAGGGUGAGUGUUCCCGAAAGUGGAUAGUCUUUGGUCAGGAGCACGCCAGUACCUGUGCUUUCCUGCUGGAACCCCCACACAGACCCUCAGGGUCCCUUUGUGGAAAGAAAGGAGGGAAGUCAAACUUCGAGGUUCUGUGUGUGGCUGUCUGCCUUUCUGA